UACGUAGGUGGCAAGCGUUAUCCGGAAUUAUUGGGCGUAAAGCGCGCGCAGGUGGUUUCUUAAGUCUGAUGUGAAAGCCCACGGCUCAACCGUGGAGGGUCAUUGGAAACUGGGAGACUUGAGUGCAGAAGAGGAAAGUGGAAUUCCAUGUGUAGCGGUGAAAUGCGUAGAGAUAUGGAGGAACACCAGUGGCGAAGGCGACGUUUCUGGUCUGUAACUGACACUGAGGCGCGAAAGCGUGGGGAGCAAACAGGA
rnacentral:rRNA from 1 species